GACGAACGCUGGCGGCGUGCCUAAUACAUGCAAGUAGAACGCUGAAGCUUGGUGCUUGCACCGAGCGGAUGAGUUGCGAACGGGUGAGUAACGCGUAGGUAACCUGCCUGGUAGCGGGGGAUAACUAUUGGAAACGAUAGCUAAUACCGCAUAAGAGUAGAUGUUGCAUGACAUUUGCUUAAAAGGUGCAAUUGCAUCACUACCAGCUGGACCUGCGUUGUAUUAGCUAGUUGGUGAGGUAACGGCUCACCAAGGCAACGAUACAUAGCCGACCUGAGAGGGUGAUCGGCCACACUGGGACUGGGACACGGCCCAGACUCCUACGGGAGGCAGCAGGAGGGAAUCUUCGGAAAUGGACGGAAGGCUGACCGAGCAACGCCGCGUGAGUGAAGAAGGUUGUCGGAUCGGAAAGCUCUGUUGUAAGAGAAGAACGAGGGUGGGAGUGGAAAGUUCACACUGUGACGGUAUCUUACCAGAAAGGGACGGCUAACUACGUG
rnacentral:rRNA from 1 species